rnacentral:rRNA from 1 species
GAUGAACGCUGGCGGCGUGCCUAAUACAUGCCAGUCGAGCGAACGGACGAGAAGCUUGCUUUUCUGAUGUUAGCGGCGGACGGGUGAGUAACACGCGGAUAACCUACCUAUAAGACUGGGAUAACUUCGGGAAACCGGAGCUAAUACCGGAUAAUAUUUUGAACCGCAUGGUUCAAAAGUGAAAGACGGUCUUGCUGUCACUUAUAGAUGGAUCCGCGCUGCAUUAGCUAGUUGGUAAGGUAACGGCUUACCAAGGCAACGAUGCAUAGCCGACCUGAGAGGGUGAUCGGCCACACUGGAACUGAGACACGGUCCAGACUCCUACGGGAGGCAGCAGUAGGGAAUCUUCCGCAAUGGGCGAAAGCCUGACGGAGCAACGCCGCGUGAGUGAUGAAGGUCUUCGGAUCGUAAAACUCUGUUAUUAGGGAAGAACAUAUGUGUAAGUAACUGUGCACAUCUUGACGGUACCUAAUCAGAAAGCCACGGCUAACUACGUG